rnacentral:lncRNA from 1 species
UUUUUCCCGGGCUUUCGGUCGGCGUUUUCCUUUUGUCGCGGGUUUGGGCGCGCAUCGAACUCUGAAGGGUCGGGAAGGCCUGUCGUUGGAAUGUGGUUGAGUUCCAGGGAGUGUACAGGCUGGAGGAUGGGACAAGACCUAUCUCUGUAUCGAUCAAGCACGGCGUUGGUGUUCCAGCUCAUCACCAAUCCUAAGGAAUUCAAGUGCCUCCCAGGAUGAAUACAGGUAAUUUUUCCAACUGGGGCAUUGGGGUGGCCUCUGUUGUUCCCCACAGAGCAAAUGGGCAGUGAAGCAGUGUUACCUUUUUGCUCCUUCAGUUUCUUCCUUUUGCAAUGAUUUUCCUGGGGAGGGAGACAGCAAGCAGCACAGUUGGUUCUGUGAGGGUGUUCUCUUCCUUCACUCAUAUGUCACUGUCAGAUGAUUUGAAUUGACAAUGCUGAUCCUCUGUGAGGUCCAACACUUAAUAGCAUGUUAGAGUUCUGAUGGCAGUUUACAUGAAUGAAAAAGUGUUAUCUUGUGAUAGUAUUUUAAAAUAACCAUUUGCUGCUGUUCUACAGGUUGUCUUGAUGGUGAUACAUUCAUCUGUCUUAAGAUCCCUGCUGAUCUGCUCAUGGUCAAACUCAUGGAAAGAGUUGAGAGUGGGGCACCUUGUUCCUGCAUCCUCAAAGGAGCAUCUUGUUCCUCCAUUUAAGCUUCCAGAGUUAAAAGGUUAGUUGAUUAAUGUCACCAUAAUAUAUGCCACCAAGUAAGCAGUUUCUGUGAUGAAUCAAACUAGCUCACUAUGAACUAACAAUGAAAAGAUAUGAACACCUGAGAAACUGGAGAACAGAGCAGUGGGAUACUGUCUGCUAGGAACUUAAUAUCACUUACAGUUUUGUCCUUUCCUAGGUACCUGUACCAUUUAGCGGCUUGUUCACUCAAAGGUGAGUGAUUUAUAUGUUGGUGCAUACCGUGUACUGAGGGAGAAAAUGCCUUUUUAGGCAUCUACACAUGAUGACUUACAUGGAAUCUCGUUCGGCUGAUGAUUUGCUGUUGAGACUCGGAAAUCUGAUUUUUUUUUUCUUUUAAGAACUUAAGUGGGAACAAAUUUUAAUGUAGGAAGUAAGCAUUACUGACUCAUUCUUGUUUUGUUUUAGAUCCAUCUUGUCUGGAGCCUGAGGAUGAUUGGAGGUGAAAGGUGUAAGCCAUACUCUGCUCAACUCCAGUCUGAAACUAAGGUUAAAAGAACACGUACUUAACACACGGGUAAGAAUCCAACUCUUGGAGGACAUCAGAAGUGGAAUUUUCUUAUACAACCUACCUAUUCAAAUUAGCAUAUAAUCUUUCUAGCCUUUCUAAAUAAAUAAAGGGAUUUUUUUGUAA